UCCCUUAGUAGCGGCGAGCGAAACGGGAAGAGCCCAAACCAAAAAGCUUGCUUGUUGGGGUUGUAGGACACUCUAUACGGAGUUACAAAGGACGACAUUAGACGAAUCAUCUGGAAAGAUGAAUCAAAGAAGGUAAUAAUCCUGUAGUCGAAAAUGUUGUCUCUCUUGAGUGGAUCCUGAGUACGACGGAGCACGUGAAAUUCCGUCGGAAUCUGGGAGGACCAUCUCCUAAGGCUAAAUACUCUCUAGUGACCGAUAGUGAACCAGUACCGUGAGGGAAAGGUGAAAAGCACCCCGGAAGGGGAGUGAAAUAGAACCUGAAACCGUGUGCUUACAAGUAGUCAGAGCCCGUUAAUGGGUGAUGGCGUGCCUUUUGUAGAAUGAACCGGCGAGUUACGAUUUGAUGCAAGGUUAAGCAGUAAAUGUGGAGCCGUAGCGAAAGCGAGUCUGAAUAGGGCGUUUAGUAUUUGGUCGUAGACCCGAAACCAGGUGAUCUACCCUUGGUCAGGUUGAAGUUCAGGUAACACUGAAUGGAGGACCGAACCGACUUACGUUGAAAAGUGAGCGGAUGAACUGAGGGUAGCGGAGAAAUUCCAAUCGAACCUGGAGAUAGCUGGUUCUCUCCGAAAUAGCUUUAGGGCUAGCCUCAAGUGAUGAUUAUUGGAGGUAGAGCACUGUUUGGACGAGGGGCCCCUCUCGGGUUACCGAAUUCAGACAAACUCCGAAUGCCAAUUAAUUUAACUUGGGAGUCAGAACAUGGGUGAUAAGGUCCGUGUUCGAAAGGGAAACAGCCCAGACCACCAGCUAAGGUCCCAAAAUAUAUGUUAAGUGGAAAAGGAUGUGGCGUUGCCCAGACAACUAGGAUGUUGGCUUAGAAGCAGCCAUCAUUUAAAGAGUGCGUAAUAGCUCACUAGUCGAGUGACACUGCGCCGAAAAUGUACCGGGGCUAAACAUAUUACCGAAGCUGUGGAUUGUCCUUUGGACAAUGGUAGGAGAGCGUUCUAAGGGCGUUGAAGCAUGAUCGUAAGGACAUGUGGAGCGCUUAGAAGUGAGAAUGCCGGUGUGAGUAGCGAAAGACGGGUGAGAAUCCCGUCCACCGAUUGACUAAGGUUUCCAGAGGAAGGCUCGUCCGCUCUGGGUUAGUCGGGUCCUAAGCUGAGGCCGACAGGCGUAGGCGAUGGAUAACAGGUUGAUAUUCCUGUACCACCUAUAAUCGUUUUAAUCGAUGGGGGGACGCAGUAGGAUAGGCGAAGCGUGCGAUUGGAUUGCACGUCUAAGCAGUAAGGCUGAGUAUUAGGCAAAUCCGGUACUCGUUAAGGCUGAGCUGUGAUGGGGAGAAGACAUUGAGUCUUCGAGUCGUUGAUUUCACACUGCCGAGAAAAGCCUCUAGAUAGAAAAUAGGUGCCCGUACCGCAAACCGACACAGGUAGUCAAGAUGAGAAUUCUAAGGUGAGCGAGCGAACUCUCGUUAAGGAACUCGGCAAAAUGACCCCGUAACUUCGGGAGAAGGGGUGCUCUUUAGGGUUAACGCCCAGAAGAGCCGCAGUGAAUAGGCCCAAGCGACUGUUUAUCAAAAACACAGGUCUCUGCUAAACCGUAAGGUGAUGUAUAGGGGCUGACGCCUGCCCGGUGCUGGAAGGUUAAGAGGAGUGGUUAGCUUCUGCGAAGCUACGAAUCGAAGCCCCAGUAAACGGCGGCCGUAACUAUAACGGUCCUAAGGUAGCGAAAUUCCUUGUCGGGUAAGUUCCGACCCGCACGAAAGGCGUAACGAUUUGGGCACUGUCUCAACGAGAGACUCGGUGAAAUCAUAGUACCUGUGAAGAUGCAGGUUACCCGCGACAGGACGGAAAGACCCCGUGGAGCUUUACUGUAGCCUGAUAUUGAAAUUCGGCACAGCUUGUACAGGAUAGGUAGGAGCCUUUGAAACGUGAGCGCUAGCUUACGUGGAGGCGCUGGUGGGAUACUACCCUAGCUGUGUUGGCUUUCUAACCCGCACCACUUAUCGUGGUGGGAGACAGUGUCAGGCGGGCAGUUUGACUGGGGCGGUCGCCUCCUAAAAGGUAACGGAGGCGCUCAAAGGUUCCCUCAGAAUGGUUGGAAAUCAUUCAUAGAGUGUAAAGGCAUAAGGGAGCUUGACUGCGAGACCUACAAGUCGAGCAGGGUCGAAAGACGGACUUAGUGAUCCGGUGGUUCCGCAUGGAAGGGCCAUCGCUCAACGGAUAAAAGCUACCCCGGGGAUAACAGGCUUAUCUCCCCCAAGAGUUCACAUCGACGGGGAGGUUUGGCACCUCGAUGUCGGCUCAUCGCAUCCUGGGGCUGUAGUCGGUCCCAAGGGUUGGGCUGUUCGCCCAUUAAAGCGGUACGCGAGCUGGGUUCAGAACGUCGUGAGACAGUUCGGUCCCUAUCCGUCGUGGGCGUAGGAAAUUUGAGAGGAGCUGUCCUUAGUACGAGAGGACCGGGAUGGACAUACCUCUGGUGUACCAGUUGUCGUGCCAACGGCAUAGCUGGGUAGCUAUGUGUGGACGGGAUAAGUGCUGAAAGCAUCUAAGCAUGAAGCCCCCCUCAAGAUGAGAUUUCCCAACUUCGGUUAU
rnacentral:rRNA from 1 species